GACGAACGCUGGCGGCGUGCUUAACACAUGCAAGUCGAACGGAAAGGCCCUGCUUUUGUGGGGUGCUCGAGUGGCGAACGGGUGAGUAACACGUGAGUAACCUGCCCUUGACUUUGGGAUAACUUCAGGAAACUGGGGCUAAUACCGGAUAGGAGCUCCUGCUGCAUGGUGGGGGUUGGAAAGUUUCGGCGGUUGGGGAUGGACUCGCGGCUUAUCAGCUUGUUGGUGAGGUAGUGGCUUACCAAGGCUUUGACGGGUAGCCGGCCUGAGAGGGUGACCGGCCACAUUGGGACUGAGAUACGGCCCAGACUCCUACGGGAGGCAGCAGUGGAGAAUAUUGCACAAUGGGCGGAAGCCUGAUGCAGCAACGCCGCGUGCGUGAUGACGGCCUUCGGGUUGUAAACCGCUUUCGCCUGUGACGAAGCGUGAGUGACGGUAAUGGGUAAAGAAGCACCGGCUAACUACGUG
rnacentral:rRNA from 1 species